rnacentral:rRNA from 1 species
UACGAGAGGCCCAAACGUUAUUCGGAUUUACUGGGCUUAAAGAGUUCGUAGGCGGUCCGUCAAGUGAGGUGUGAAAGCCCUCGGCUCAACCGAGGAAUUGCGCUUCAAACUGUCGGGCUCGAGGGAGAUAGAGGUGAGCGGAACUGAUGGUGGAGCGGUGAAAUGCGUUGAUAUCAUCAGGAACACCAGAGGCGAAGGCGGCUCACUGGGUCUUUUCUGACGCUGAGGAACGAAAGCUAGGGGAGCAAACGGG